rnacentral:tRNA from 1 species
GAGGCGUAUGAACACCUAGAUCUGCUAACUCUUACAACUGAUGAUAAAAUCUUCAGGCCUCUUA